rnacentral:rRNA from 1 species
UUAAACGGUAGGGUAUUGGCCUACCGUGGCAAUGACGGGUAACGGGGAAUUAGGGUUCGAUUCCGGAGAGGGAGCCUGAGAAACGGCUACCACAUCUAAGGAAGGCAGCAGGCGCGCAAAUUACCCAAUCCUAAUACAGGGAGGUAGUGACAAGAAAUAACAAUACAGGACUUUUUGGUUUUG